rnacentral:tRNA from 1 species
GGGUAUAGCUCAGUUGGUAGAGCGGCGGUCUCCAAAACCGCAGGUCGAGGGUUCGAAUCCUUCUGCCC